CUUGCAAGCCGCCGAGAUAUGUAUUUUAUGCAUGAUGGAGCCCCACCCCAUUUUAACCUUGCUGUAAGACACCACUUAAAUAAUACUUUUGAAAACCGUUGGAUAGGUAGAGGAGGACCUGUUGCUUGGCCUCCUCGGUCUCCCGAUCUAACGCCAUUAGAUUUUUAUCUAUGGGGUCACCUCAAAACCUUGGUGUAUUCCACCCCAGUCGAUACUCGGGAAGAACUGCUCCAAAGAAUUAUAUUUCAUUGUGAUAAUAUAAAAAACAAUCUUGGGUUAUUGUGGCGAGUGCAGCAGUCCUCGAUUCGUCGUGCCCGCGAAUGUGUUAAAGUUCACGGAGCCCACGUCGAACCUACUUAUGAAGUUUUUAAUAAUUAAUGGUUUAUUGCUCGUAUUAAAUUCUUGUUCACUGAGCACCAACUCAACGAACCUGGGGCUAAAGAAGCGCAGACUGACCAUAAAACAUGUGGACUCCCUGGAUAAUGGAGUACAAAUGUGAGGCGAACAAUUCAGCUGGAAGCAGGAAAAGUGCCAAGGGCUUCGCUCUGGCAGUCGAAGGAGAAAAAUACCCACUGAUUCAAACAAUACCCGCGGACCAAAUUCUCAAAAAGGGAACGACCGCCUACUUCCACUGUUCGUACCAAAGAGCAGACGUGUUAGAAUGGUACUUAAUGGCACCCUGCAAAUAAACGACGUGAGCGAGGAGGACAUGGGCUGGUACAACUGCGUGGGGAUCAAAAGCGAAUCCACCGAGGUACCAUAGAGCUACACCGCCGAACUAGUUUUGGCUUUUAUAGAACCUUUUACCGAAUCCUCUUUCGAGCCGCCUUUUAUGUUUGGCUCGGAACAACCGGUGGGCGAAGGAACCUUGUUUCAGUUGACUAGUUUGGAACCAAAGAGCUUCCCUUUGGCCAAGAAAUGGUGGCAGAACUCCGCAGGACAUACGAUAAGGACCAUAAAAAGGGAUUGGGGUACAUAAUUAGAGGUUUCUUACAGAUAUCUGAUCGAGGAGACAUCUAUGUCGAUGAUGGCAGACUGAUUAUUACCAAAGUGAAACAGUCUGACGGAGGAAAGUACACUUGCGUCGCAGAAAAUGUUGCAGGAAAAACUGAGAAGACUGUGCGACUUGUUGCGUAAAUUUGAAAUUAUGGUAAAAAUUUAGUGGAGAAUAACUAGAGGCUCCUUUUUUUUAGAUCAUGAUUCUAGGUAGGAUAACUAGGGGUUUCUUAGGAAUUUUGCAAAUAAUUUCUAUUAUUUUUGAUAAUUUUAAAUUAAUUUGGAACGAUUUACAAUUAGAAACAUACCCAACGUGCAUAAUUUAAAUGAACAUUAUGUCUCUUUUAAUAAU